rnacentral:lncRNA from 1 species
CUUGUUCCUUUCUCUUCUUUGUCUGUCCACUCCCUUUGUUUUCAACAGUCUUUGGAGCUUCUGGUACCACUGGUGUGAUCUCAUUCUUGAAUGCUAACACCCUGGUGUCUCCUAACGCUACGCUUUCUAAGCAACCUGAGUGUUCUCUGAACUAGGUGAACAAUCCAGGGCGAUAGCGUGAAAGGGCCUCGUCAUUGCUCAUCCAGUUUCACUACAUUAGCCUCCUCGUGUUCCUAAGGGCUACCACCAACUAAUGCUUUUCGACUUCUGGCUAGAGCUACUAACCUACCUCGAACAAGAGCUGCAUCCCGGUAGCGCUUUGAAUCAUCAUUUUACUAUUCCUAGGUUCGAUUCCUGCUGUCUUUACUUUCUGUCUUGCCUCUAUGCCUUCCUGGUGGGUGACUGUGACCUGGAGAUGGUUCGAUGGUUGGUGACUCUAAGCCAGAGUGAUGCUUUCUUAGUUUCAUAAAUGCCUUUCUAAGCCCUUUCCAAUCAAUGGAGAAUGGUUACUAGAGCUAGCGCCUGUCCCACUUUAGAACACUAAGAACGUAAUAAGCCUAGCCGGGACAAAUGCACUCAGUGUUAGUCCGAUCACCUCGGCUAAAAUCAUCUUCCCUUUAUUAAUGACCAAGGGUAUCCAUAUCAUGAUAUGUAGAUACAAGAGGGCAGAGGCAUUGAUGCGGGUAGGAUGCGUGUCUGCUUUCCUGUUGUUUGAAGGAGUAGAUACAUUCAUUUCCUUUUGCCAGAGUGAGAGUGAGAGUUGUGUGGGNNNNNNNNNNNNNNNNNNNNNNNNNNNNNNNNNNNNNNNNNNNNNNNNNNNNNNNNNNNNNNNNNNNNNNNNNNNNNNNNNNNNNNNNNNNNNNNNNNNNGGAGGAGGGGAAUUUAUUUCUGCCUCCAACUCCAUGUAAUUCGAACUAACACUUUCUACGCUCAUAGCCGGCCCAUUUACCGAAUUUGGGUAUGACGACUCUGGGUCAAAUUCCACAAGCAUUCCGUCCAUUGAACCCGGGAAAACAAAAGGAUCCAUCGUGACUCCCCAUCUUUUUCAGCUCUGCUCCCAAACAAAAGAGAAAGGGAGACUUAGUUUUAGAUCGGCGUUGGUUUUUCCAACGAAAAACAAGAACAUUCUUUCACGAACUUCCAUGACAAAAUGCUAGUUGCCUCGUAACGCAUACACUGGAGCGUUUGUCCCAUCGACGAAGACUACUUACUAUACGCGUUUUCGAGUUGCAUUUAGUGCUCUUUUUCGUCGCCAGCUAAAUCAAUCAAUUUGACAAGAUCUUGCAUCAAUCACCUCGUCCGCUAGGGAAAUGCACUCCUGAAUAGACUCGAUUCCCCGCCCCGCAUCAGUGAAAUGUCUAAGACGCAACGGAAUAGCAACGUUUCUUUCUAUAUGAUAAUAUGCACCGAGGGGAGGAGUAGUUUCAAAUAGAAGUCAAGUAAACAGAUUCAAGUUAGCCCAGUUUGGUUCCUUGGAAAAGCUGUUCAAAGCAAAGGGUUGACGGGGGGUGGAGUCCCAUCCCAGGUUUAGUAUAUAGCCCCUGUUUUCCAAUCCGUAAACGGUGGAUUGACUUGCUCUUUAUCAAAUCCACAUUAAAAAGGGGUUUUGUCGUUCAAUGCUUUGAUCCGCGCACCUUAUUUCUGAUUGAACCACUUCCUCGAAAGGACAUCGUAUCGGUGCCAGAAUAUGGGCUAGCGGUACACCAACCUCCCCACCAACUGCUACGCCCCGCGGGGCUUCUUCCUAGCGCUAUUGAAAUGAUAUUCCUAUUAUUGGUCCUAGCAAUAUCCCUGGACCAGGGCAUGGCACCUAUCCAACUAUGUCUUGUUUCGGUUUCCGGAUCCGAAUCUUUUGUUAUACUUAUGUAUGGAUGAUUGUACACAACAGGUGUGGAAAGUGCGAUAGAGCUCGAAAAUGGAUGCCCCUAUUUCAAUUUCAUAAGUGCUUGUGCAACGGCUUGAAAGUGACAGACUGAGUCAAGUGACCUGUUUUUGUCACAUGAUCCAGAAUUGCACGAGAACCUACAAGUCCUGUUAUCGUUCUUAAUUCGAUAGCCACGGGACAGCCGUUUUCUCGUCUCUCAGCCUUUCUUAUACCUGCACUGACCUCAACGGUAUCCAACCUGCAAAAAAUAUCUAUACCCAUUAGCUCAUCACGCCAACAGUUCUCUUGGGUUGACUGAACCUACCUAUCCGAAAUCCCUGUUGCCAACUUCUUACUGCACAGAAGCAAUGGAACAGUAUCGUAAAGUGAAGUGAAGCAAACAAACCACUCCUUUGGAAUUGAUGGACUUGACACACAGCCGACGACUGAGAUGUGCCAUUGUCAUCGUCAAGAUCGUCCAUCACGAGUACCUUCUUUUCUGCAUCCGUCAGUUCAAGUUUUCCCAGCAUGUUUUAUUACUUGCCUCGAUCGAUACCAUCCACUUAUUUCUCUUUCUCACGGGACACAUAAAGAUACCAGCGCUUGUGCGAACAGUUGAUGCUUGUUAAGCCAUAGCUAUCACUUCUCGCGCCAAAGCGCUCCCACCAACUACAAAAUACCUUAUAGGAGGGGCCCUUGUCUUCAGCUAAAAAGAAGCAGAUAUUGCCGUAAGCAGGAGAUGGAAAAGCCCACGAUCCAUAACUUACUCACUCAGAUAUUUACUAGAGCUUGGCAGUGAAUGAAGGCAGUACAGGAGACUCCGAAUCCUAUUCAGAUUGCCAAUGAUCCAGUCAAGCAUGAACUAACCAAGCAUAUUGGUUUCGAUCACGUCUAUCCGAAGUCAAUAGAGCAAUUUAGAGCGUAGCGGUAUCUUUUGCUAAUGAAAUGAGAUUGGAUAUGAAUGUGGAAUUCAUUGAGUGGAGAGAUGAACUAAUCUAUACUCUGCCUGUCUUCCAUUUCUCUGAAGAUUUCGUUUACAACACAACAUCAAACUCCAAUUUCAUGAAUUGAUAGGUAAGGAUCGCUGUCGAACAGCUCUUCUUCAUUUCUUCCGGAAUUCUUUCUUCUAAGGUAGUAGGUAUCGGGUUUCCCUGUUCAUACUCCGAACAUGAGUUAAUAUACUCUUGUAGAGCAGAUCACUUAGGGCUUUAUACUGGUUCGACGACUGGGUUCUUGUUCCUUUCUCUUCUUUGUCUGUCCACUCCCUUUGUUUUCAACAGUCUUUGGAGCUUCUGGUACCACUGGUGUGAUCUCAUUCUUGAAUGCUAACACCCUGGUGUCUCCUAACGCUACGCUUUCUAAGCAACCUGAGUGUUCUCUGAACUAGGUGAACAAUCCAGGGCGAUAGCGUGAAAGGGCCUCGUCAUUGCUCAUCCAGUUUCACUACAUUAGCCUCCUCGUGUUCCUAAGGGCUACCACCAACUAAUGCUUUUCGACUUCUGGCUAGAGCUACUAACCUACCUCGAACAAGAGCUGCAUCCCGGUAGCGCUUUGAAUCAUCAUUUUACUAUUCCUAGGUUCGAUUCCUGCUGUCUUUACUUUCUGUCUUGCCUCUAUGCCUUCCUGGUGGGUGACUGUGACCUGGAGAUGGUUCGAUGGUUGGUGACUCUAAGCCAGAGUGAUGCUUUCUUAGUUUCAUAAAUGCCUUUCUAAGCCCUUUCCAAUCAAUGGAGAAUGGUUACUAGAGCUAGCGCCUGUCCCACUUUAGAACACUAAGAACGUAAUAAGCCUAGCCGGGACAAAUGCACUCAGUGUUAGUCCGAUCACCUCGGCUAAAAUCAUCUUCCCUUUAUUAAUGACCAAGGGUAUCCAUAUCAUGAUAUGUAGAUACAAGAGGGCAGAGGCAUUGAUGCGGGUAGGAUGCGUGUCUGCUUUCCUGUUGUUUGAAGGAGUAGAUACAUUCAUUUCCUUUUGCCAGAGUGAGAGUGAGAGUUGUGUGGG